rnacentral:rRNA from 1 species
UACGAAGGGUCCAAGCGUUGUUCGGAAUUACUGGGCGUAAAGCGUGCGUAGGCGGGUCAGAAAGUCGAUUGUGAAAUCCCUGGGCUUAACCUAGGAACUGCAGUCGAAACUCCUGAUCUUGAAUGUCUGAGAGGAUGGCGGAAUUCCCGGUGUAGUAGUGAAAUACGUAGAUAUCGGGAAGAACACCUGAGGCGAAGGCGGCUAUCUGGCGGUACAUUGACGCUGAUGCACGAAAGCGUGGGGAGCAAACAGG